GCGUCGCCUGCAGCGGAGAAGUGCCGAUCGCUCCUGACUUGGUUUAGCUGUGGAGAUCACGGUGAAGGUAAAUGAUGCAACUUAAUUCAUUGUCACCCAUGACAAGCAGGUCCUCGGGGAGAGGCUUGACAGAGUGGCUCAUCAGACCCUAAUGAAGAGAGAUGCAGAGAUCUGAGCUGGAUGGAGACACUGGACGCCUGCAGCUGUUCCUCGUUAGCGCUCUUCAUUACCCCCUCAACUGCAGCCAGCCAGCGGAGGAUUAUUCCCUUUCGCUGCCCCGCUAGCUUCACGUUUAUUUCCUGCUGUUAGCCUCUUCAGUUAGUCUUCUUCGCCCUACCGUUUUGCAGCCCAGUAGGUUGUCCAGCUCCCACUGUCGUACAUCCUCUGUUGUUUUUUUUGUCUUCUGCUUUUCCAUGGUGCCUCCCCUGUUUAUGCACCGUCGCCCUCAGUCUGGAAUAUGAUUUCAUGGUCUACUGAGUUAAAAGCAGUUCCUGAACCCCCAAGGGCGAGUGUUUGUGUCUGCUGGCCACAAGUGUUAAAGGUUUGUCCUGUUGAAAAAGCCAGUCAUUUCCACACUAGCUUGGGCCUUCAAUCUUGAGGGAUGCCGCCUGCAACAUCUCCACAUUGCCAGCUGCUGUUUGAUUCCCAUGCACAACCUGAAGCUCCCUUGUUGCAUUGAAGGUAAAAGCACUCCAGAUCAUGAA